UGAAAUUAUACUAAAACAAUUAUUCGCCUUAGGCUCGGUGGUUAUUGUUAAAUGAAAACUUCGACUUUGUCUCUGUCCCUACUUACCGAUAAUCACCUAGCCUUCGGCAAUAAAUUGUUAAUUAUUUCUGUUUUCUAUAAUUAUAUUCAUAUUUUGUAAAGGGCCCACUGUAAUUGGUGUUAAGCUGUUGUGGUGUCCCAGCUUCUUUAAUGCAUUCAUUGUAUAAUGUUUGGAAGCGAAGCACAAUAAAUAAAUAAAUAAAUAAAAGUACCUUUU